rnacentral:snRNA from 1 species
GUGUUCGCUUCAGCAGCACAUAUACUAAAAUUGGAACAAUGCAGAGAAGAUUAGCAUGGACCCUGCAAAUAAAAAAAAAGCCCAAUUUAAAGUGGGGGUGUUAACCUAU